GUUCUUUGUCAUCUAAAAAUAAAGUAAAAUAAGAACAAAUGAAAAAUUGAGCAUCUAGUUCAUUGCAAGUAAACCAGUUAUUAACCCACAUCAAGAAAGAGGAAAUUUUUUGCAAGUGCACAGAAAUAGCAAAAACAAUUUAUAAUAUUUAUGUAAAUAAUAAGAAUAUGAAAUUUGUAGCAAAGUACAGGUCAAAUUAACUAAUUACAAUAAUCUCAUAUAAUUCCAGAAGAUACUCAAAGCAUGCUAUUUUCACAUGUAUUCCAGUCUUACCUUAUAAGAGCAUAGUCA
rnacentral:misc_RNA from 1 species